rnacentral:rRNA from 1 species
AUGCAGUCGAGCGGAUGAAGGAGCUUGCUCCUGGAUUCAGCGGCGGACGGGUGAGUAAUGCCUAGGAAUCUGCCUGGUAGUGGGGGACAACGUUUCGAAAGGAACGCUAAUACCGCAUACGUCCUACGGGAGAAAGCAGGGGACCUUCGGGCCUUGCGCUAUCAGAUGAGCCUAGGUCGGAUUAGCUAGUUGGUGAGGUAAUGGCUCACCAAGGCGACGAUCCGUAACUGGUCUGAGAGGAUGAUCAGUCACACUGGAACUGAGACACGGUCCAGACUCCUACGGGAGGCAGCAGUGGGGAAUAUUGGACAAUGGGCGAAAGCCUGAUCCAGCCAUGCCGCGUGUGUGAAGAAGGUCUUCGGAUUGUAAAGCACUUUAAGUUGGGAGGAAGGGCAGUAAAUUAAUACUUUGCUGUUUUGACGUUACCGACAGAAUAAGCACCGGCUAACUCUGUGCCAGCAGCCGCGGUAAUACAGAGGGUGCAAGCGUUAAUCGG